rnacentral:rRNA from 1 species
UCGCAAUGCCCGAAAGGGUGACGAAGCGACGCCGCGUGUGGGAAGAAGGCCUUCGGGUUGUAAACCACUGUCGGGAGUUAGGAAAUGUAAGGGUGCUAAUAGUAUCCUUACUUGACUAAGGCUCCGGAGGAAGCCACGGCUAACUCUGUGCCAGCAGCCGCGGUAAUACAGAGGCGGCAAGCGUUGUUCGGAAUUAUUGGGCGUAAAGAGCACGUAGGCGGCCUUGUAAGUCAGUUGUGAAAGCCUUCUGCUUAACGGAAGAACAGCAGCUGAUACUGCAAGGCUAGAGUGCGGAAGGGGAGAGUGGAACUUCUGGUGGAGCGGUGAAAUGCGUAGAUAUCAGAAGGAACACCGGCGGCGAAGGCGACUCUCUGGUCCGUAACUGACGCUGAGUGUGCGAAAGCUAGGGGAGCAAACGGGAUUAGAUACCCCGGUAGUCCUAGCCGUAAACGAUGGGCACUAA